UACAGGGGGUGCAAACGUUGCUCGGAAUUAUUGGGCGUAAAGCGCGCGUAGGCGGCCGCUUAAGUCGGAUGUGAAAGCCCCUGGCUCAACUGGGGAAGUGCACCCGAAACUGAGUGGCUUGAGUACUAAAGAGGGUCGCGGAAUUGCCCGGUGUAGAGGUGAAAUUCGUAGAUAUCGGGAGGAACACCGGUGGCGAAGGCGGCGACCUGGGUAGAUACGUGACGGCUGAGGCGCGAAAGCCAGGGGAGCAAAGCGGGAUUAAG
rnacentral:rRNA from 1 species